ensembl:lncRNA AABR07044805.2
CAACAGUGUACUGCUUCACAGCCAUUGACCUUACUGGUAGAUAUCCCUGGAAAGUUUCCAGCUCUCAGUUUACUUGAAAUGACUUUCAUGAAGCAGAGAAAAUUGAUUGGGAAGAAAAUUUGCCAGCGUUCAGCUUGAACAGGAAAACUGCUGUGGUGUAUGACAAAGGUACUGGAGAAAUAGCAUAUAAGGGAAGGAUGAAACUAAACCAGGAAUGGAUGAACUUCUGUGGCUACAGGGCUACAGGGAAUGGAAAAACAAGAUACCCUACAUAGUAGCAGGGAGAAGCAUUUGCAAGCCACUUCAAGGGCAACUGUGUGGAAGAGUUUCAGCACAAUAUUGAUGUGGUCAAGACACUUGAGGUCAUGUGCAGAGAAUGGAUCAGAGGAUGGCAAGUCUGAAUGUUUGGAGACUGGUUCUUAAGCCAUGAGAUGGUGAAAAGCCAACUUGUCUCUCAGGCGUGAGGGAUGGCACAGAGGUUAGGACGUUGCACUGCUCCUACUGAAGACCCGGGUUCGGUCCCGACCACGCAUGCCAUUCAGAUCACAACCCCCUCUAACUCCAAGAAAAGACAUUUCCUUCUUCUGGCCACCAUGGGCAAAGAACAGAACUUAUGUGCACAGACCAACAACCACCUACAAAUGGACAUGAUUGGAAAAUAACAAUCAGUCUUAGAA